GUAGGUGGCAAGCGUUGUCCGGAAUUAUUGGGCGUAAAGCGCGCGCAGGCGGUUCUUUAAGUCUGAUGUGAAAGCCCACGGGCUCAACCGUGGAGGGUCAUUGGAAACUGGAGAACUUGAGUACAGAAGAGGAAAGCGGAAUUCCACGUGUAGCGGUGAAAUGCGUAGAGAUGUGGAGGAACACCAGUGGGGAAGGCGGCUUUCUGGUCUGUAACUGACGCUGAGGCGCGAAAGCGUGGGGAGCAAACAGGAUUAGAUACCCUGGUAGUCCACGCCGUAAACGAUGAGUGCUAAGUGUUAGGGGGUUUCCGCCCCUUAGUGCUGCAGCUAACGCAUUAAGCACUCCGCCUGGGGAGUACGGCCGCAAAGGCUG
rnacentral:rRNA from 1 species